AUGAAUAUUUCCAAUUGCAGAUAAAUGCAUAGUUGAGUUGUCUCAAGAUUAGGAACAGAAUGUGAGCAACUUCGGAAUAUAUAUAUAUAUAUCCAAGAGCAUUUGAACAGAGAAACUUGUUUUCAGUUGCUGAGCAUGGAGAUUCAAGUUUAGAAGUUUCUGCACUUUCGGUUAUCAGUUCCCACCACCAAAACGUUUCUCAGGUAAAACACUAAAACGCUAUAUGUAUAAAGUCAUUUUCUUCUUCUGUGUUUCAGGCGGUUCAUUCAAGCAGCUCAAGCAUUUGACAAGGUUCCCCAUAUUGAGAUGGAGUACUUAGCAAACUAUGUUGCAGUAUUGACUGUUGUGGAAUAUAGUUUUCUAAGGCUCAUGCCGUCCUUAAUAGCUGCCUCAGCUGUUUUUUUAGCAAGAUGGACGCUUGACCAAUCUAACCAUCCUUGGAACCCAACUCUGAAGCACUACACCAGAUAUGAGACGCCUGCCCUUAAAAACACAGUACUUGCAAUGUAGGAUUUGCAGCUUAACACCAGUGGAAGCACCCUCGUUGCUAUAAGGAAGAAGUACAACCAAGAAAAGUUUAAAAGAGUGGCAUAACCAAGUCAGCACAUCUCUCUGGCUUCAACACAUGCAUCAGGUGGCCAAUCCUUGCUUCAGACAUCAUUUGUAGUCUCUUCAGUAGUGGAAUAUUUUCAAGAAGUUGUGCUUCCAGGCAAUGCCAUCUCACGUGAAAAUUGUAAAACCAAACAUAAACUUUAACAUUGAGAUAGUCCCUUUACCUUAAACAUUUUUUAUUUAUC